rnacentral:ncRNA from 1 species
CAUGAUGAAAUAUAUAUAUUCUUAUAUAUUUUGGAUUGUAUAGUGGGUAGUCGCAGUCACCUCACACCUGUUUGAUAUGAUUUUAAAUAAUCCGAUGUCAUAUAAAAGGAAAACAAAUUCUUUAGAAUUUGGAAAAGUUUAAAAAUUUUAAGUUUUUAACUAACUGU